rnacentral:rRNA from 1 species
AGAAUGAACCGGCGAGUUACGAUCCCGUGCGAGGUUAAGCUGAAGAGGCGGAGCCGCAGCGAAAGCGAGUCUGAAUAGGGCGUUUAGUACGUGGUCGUAGACCCGAAACCAGGUGAUCUACCCAUGUCCAGGGUGAAGUUCAGGUAACACUGAAUGGAGGCCCGAACCCACGCACGUUGAAAAGUGCGGGGAUGAGGUGUGGGUAGCGGAGAAAUUCCAAUCGAACCUGGAGAUAGCUGGUUCUCCCCGAAAUAGCUUUAGGGCUAGCCUUAAGUGUAAGAGUCUUGGAGGUAGAGCACUGAUUGGACUAGGGGUCCUCAUCGGAUUACCGAAUUCAGUCAAACUCCGAAUGCCAAUGACUUAUCCUUAGGAGUCAGACUGCGAGUGAUAAGAUCCGUAGUCAAAAGGGAAACAGCCCAGACCGCCAGCUAAGGUCCCAAAGUGUGUAUUAAGUGGAAAAGGAUGUGGAGUUGCUUAGACAACUAGGAUGUUGGCUUAGAAGCAGCCACCAUUUAAAGAGUGCGUAAUAGCUCACUAGUCGAGUGACUCUGCGCCGAAAAUGUACCGGGGCUAAAUACACCACCGAAGCUGCGGAUUGAUACCAAUGGUAUCAGUGGUAGGGGAGCGUUCUAAGGACAGUGAAGUCAGACCGGAAGGACUGGUGGAGUGCUUAGAAGUGAGAAUGCCGGUAUGAGUAGCGAAAGACGGGUGAGAAUCCCGUCCACCGAAUGCCUAAGGUUUCCUGAGGAAGGCUCGUCCGCUCAGGGUUAGUCAGGACCUAAGCCGAGGCCGACAGGCGUAGGCGAUGGACAACAGGUUGAUAUUCCUGUACCACCUCUUUAUCGUUUGAGCAAUGGAGGGACGCAGAAGGAUAGAAGAAGCGUGCGAUUGGUUGUGCACGUCCAAGCAGUUAGGCUGAUAAGUAGGCAAAUCCGCUUAUCGUGAAGGCUGAGCUGUGAUGGGGAAGCUCCUUAUGGAGCGAAGUCUUUGAUUCCCCGCUGCCAAGAAAAGCUUCUAGCGAGAUAAAAGGUGCCUGUACCGCAAACCGACACAGGUAGGCGAGGAGAGAAUCCUAAGGUGUGCGAGAGAACUCUGGUUAAGGAACUCGGCAAAAUGACCCCGUAACUUCGGGAGAAGGGGUGCUUUCUUAACGGAAAGCCGCAGUGAAUAGGCCCAAGCGACUGUUUAGCAAAAACACAGCUCUCUGCGAAGCCGUAAGGCGAAGUAUAGGGGGUGACACCUGCCCGGUGCUGGAAGGUUAAGGAGAGGGGUUAGCGUAAGCGAAGCUCUGAACUGAAGCCCCAGUAAACGGCGGCCGUAACUAUAACGGUCCUAAGGUAGCGAAAUUCCUUGUCGGGUAAGUUCCGACCCGCACGAAAGGUGUAACGAUUUGGGCACUGUCUCAACCAGAGACUCGGUGAAAUUAUAGUACCUGUGAAGAUGCAGGUUACCCGCGACAGGACGGAAAGACCCCGUGGAGCUUUACUGUAGCCUGAUAUUGAAUUUUGGUACAGUUUGUACAGGAUAGGCGGGAGCCUUUGAAACCGGAGCGCUAGCUUCGGUGGAGGCGCUGGUGGGAUACCGCCCUGACUGUAUUGAAAUUCUAACCUACGGGUCUUAUCGACCCGGGAGACAGUGUCAGGUGGGCAGUUUGACUGGGGCGGUCGCCUCCUAAAGUGUAACGGAGGCGCCCAAAGGUUCCCUCAGAAUGGUUGGAAAUCAUUCGUAGAGUGCAAAGGCAUAAGGGAGCUUGACUGCGAGACCUACAAGUCGAGCAGGGACGAAAGUCGGGCUUAGUGAUCCGGUGGUUCCGCAUGGAAGGGCCAUCGCUCAACGGAUAAAAGCUACCCCGGGGAUAACAGGCUUAUCUCCCCCAAGAGUCCACAUCGACGGGGAGGUUUGGCACCUCGAUGUCGGCUCAUCGCAUCCUGGGGCUGUAGUCGGUCCCAAGGGUUGGGCUGUUCGCCCAUUAAAGCGGUACGCGAGCUGGGUUCAGAACGUCGUGAGACAGUUCGGUCCCUAUCCGUCGUGGGCGUAGGAAAUUUGAGAGGAGCUGUCCUUAGUACGAGAGGACCGGGAUGGACGCACCGCUGGUGUACCAGUUGUUCUGCCAAGGGCAUAGCUGGGUAGCUAUGUGCGGAAGGGAUAAGUGCUGAAAGCAUCUAAGCAUGAAGCCCCCCUCAAGAUGAGAUUUCCCAUAGCGUAAGCUAGUAAGAUCCCUGAAAGAUGAUCAGGUUGAUAGGUUCGAGGUGGAAGCAUGGUGA